rnacentral:rRNA from 1 species
CCUACGGGAGGCAGCAGUAGGGAAUAUUGCUCAAUGGGGGAAACCCUGAAGCAGCAACGCCGCGUGGAGGAUGAAGGUUUUCGGAUUGUAAACUCCUUUUGUUAGAGAAGAUAAUGACGGUAUCUAACGAAUAAGCACCGGCUAACUCCGUGCCAGCAGCCGCGGGAAUACGGAGGGUGCAAGCGUUACUCGGAAUCACUGGGCGUAAAGAGCGCGUAGGCGGGAUAGCAAGUCAGAUGUGAAAUGCUAUGGCUUAACCAUAGAACUGCAUUUGAAACUGUUAUUCUAGAGUAUGGGAGAGGUAGGUGGAAUUCUUGGUGUAGGGGUAAAAUCCGUAGAGAUCAAGAGGAAUACUCAUUGCGAAGGCGACCUGCUAGAACAUAACUGACGCUGAUGCGCGAAAGCGUGGGGAGCAAACAGGAUUAGAUACCCCAGUAGUC